rnacentral:rRNA from 1 species
UACGGGGGGGGCAAGCGUUGUUCGGAAUUACUGGGCGUAAAGGGCUCGUAGGCGGCCAACUAAGUCCGACGUGAAAUCCCAAGGCUUAACCUUGGAACUGCGUCGGAUACUGGAUGGCUUGAAUUCGGGAGAGGGAUGCAGAAUUCCAGGUGUAGCGGUGAAAUGCGUAGAUAUCUGGAGGAACACCGGUGGCGAAGGCGACAUCCUGGACCAACACUGACGCUGAGUGAGCGAAAGCCAGGGGAGCAAACGGG